rnacentral:lncRNA from 1 species
UGUUAAUUAUUGUAUGUAAAGAUAAUGUAUAUUUACCUUUCCUCCUAAUGUUUGUUUCUCGUAUUUUUAAACUGAGUGCAUUUCUUAAAUUAGUUUUUCCCCCCUCCCUCAACAGUUAACCAUGUGACCGAGUGCCUUGUGGAAUCGUGUGGGAUGCUACCUGAUAAACCAGGCUUCUUUAACCAUGCAGAGCAGACAGGCUGUUUCUUUGACACAAAUAUCACAGGCUUCAGGGUUAAGAUUGCUGUUUUUCUGUCCUUGCUUUGGCACAACACACUGAGGGUUUUUUUUAUCGCGGGUUUGCCUACAGGUAGAUUAGAUUAAUUAUUACUAUGUAAUGCAAGUACAGUUGGGGGAAAGCUUAGGUAGAUAUAUUUUUUUUAAAAGGUGCUGCCUUUUUGGAUUUAUAAGAAAAUGGCUGUCAGUCGUGAUAGAACAGAGUUUUCCUCAUAUGAGUAAGAGGAAGGGACUUUCACUUUCAAGUGGAACGGCCAUCACUAUCAAGAUCAGCUCAUGGAAGGAGUAAAGAAAAUAUCUCAAAAUGAGACAAACUGAAGUUUUGUUUUUUUUUUAAUGACUUAAGUUUUUGUGCUCUUGCAAGACUAUACAAAACUAUUUUAAGAAAGCAGUGAUAUCACUUGAACUUCAGUGCCCUCACUGUAGAAUUUAAAAGCCUUACUGUUGAUUGCCCAUGGUGGACUUGAUGGAGAAAUUAAAUAUCUUUCAUUAUGCUUUACAAAAUACUGUAUAUGUUUCAGCAAGUUUGGGGAAUGGGAGAGGACGAAAAAAAGUUACAUUUAAUCUAUGCAUUUUUGCCAAGCCAUAUUGAGUUAUUUUACUACUAGAGACAUUAGGAAACUAACUGUACAAAAGAACCAAGUUUAAAAGCAUUUUGUGGGGUACAUCAUUUCUAUAAUUGUAUAAUGUAUUUCUUUGUGGUUUUAAAUGAUAAAGACAUUAAGUUAACAAACAUAUAAGAAAUGUAUGCACUGUUUGAAAUGUAAAUUAUUCUUAGAACACUUUCAAUGGGGGUUGCAUUGUCCUUUUAGUGCCUUAAUUUGAGAUAAUUAUUUUACUGCCAUGAGUAAGUAUAGAAAUUUCAAAAAAUGUAUUUUCAAAAAAUUAUGUGUGUCCGUGAGUUUUUCAUUGAUAAUUGGUUUAAUUUAAAAUAUUUAGAGGUUUGUUGGACUUUCAUAAAUUGAGUACAAUCUUUGCAUCAAACUACCUGCUACAAUAAUGACUUUAUAAAACUGCAAAAAAUGUAGAAGGUUGCACCAAUAUAAAAAGGAAAUAUGGCAAUACAUCCAUGAUGUUUUCCAGUUAACAUAGGAAUUACCAGAUAAAUACUGUUAAACUCUUGUCCGGUAACAAGAGUUGAUUCAUAUGGACAGUAUGAUUUAUUGUUUCUUUUUUUAACCAAAUACCUCCUCAGUAAUUUAUAAUGGCUUUGCAGUAAUGUCUAUCAGAUAAGAAGCACUGGAAAACCGAUCGUCUCUAGGAUGAUAUGCAUGUUUCAAGUGGUAUUGAAAGCCGCA